CAGCCGCCGCGGUAAUACGUAGGGUGCGAGCGUUAAUCGGAAUUACUGGGCGUAAAGCGUGCGCAGGCGGUUGUGUAAGACAGGUGUGAAAUCCCCGGGCUUAACCUGGGAACUGCGCUUGUGACUGCACAGCUAGAGUAUGGCAGAGGGGGGUGGAAUUCCACGUGUAGCAGUGAAAUGCGUAGAGAUGUGGAGGAACACCGAUGGCGAAGGCAGCCCCCUGGGCCAAUACUGACGCUCAUGCACGAAAGCGUGGGGAGCAAACAGGAUUAGAUACCCGCGUAGUCCCUGCCUCUUAUAC
rnacentral:rRNA from 1 species